UAGAUCUAUGGUAAUGCAAUUAGUAGCUCAAAAUUUUAAUCCUUCAAUUGUUAUUUUAAAAACUGUUUUACCUACUUAAUGAUAAAGGAAAAUUAUUCAUUUUAUUAAACAGAUGUACACAAGAAGGAGAUAAACAGAAACACAGAGGUGCUAUACUUUCUAAUGGAAAAGACAACAAAAGCAUCUCCCAUCAUUUUGGCGUGGCUCAGAUCAAGAGGAGAAAUUUAAAAAAGGUGAUGGUUGGGCACAAACAAGAAGACAUAGAUCACAGGCGUAUAGCAUAUGAGUAGACAGGAGUUUCACACUCUGCCAGACUUACUUCCUCAGACGAGCAGAUUUAGGCUUCUCAAGAUCACGCACUGCACACUAAGACAUAGUCUUUGACUACAACAAGGCCUUAGGGGAUGAAAGUACAGAGAGGUCCAAUUGAAAUCAAUUCUGUGCUGCGUCAUUUCUUUAUUCUAGAGGUUGAUGGACAUGAUUUAUGGCAUCAAGUGUGCAGUUUGUCAACUAACUAUCAACACAGCAGUCUUGUUCACCAGCUGCUCAACUUGAGCUUUUAGCUUUAUUGCUUGAAGCCACUGUAUAAGAGGAGGGAAGGUGCAGACUCAUCAAAAAGUCUCAAGGUUGAAACUAGGAAGAGAAGUUUGUCAAGAGUGUGAAUAUUUGCUUUGAAAACAAUUGUUACAAUGAUUUGGUUUCCUUUGAAACUUGAUACAUACUAUGUGUAUGUUGAAUGAAUUGAGAUGCUUAAAUAAAGAACCACUAUUCAAAUAUCAGGAAACUGCAUUUUUCAUACUAAAUUGGUAAAUGAUGUCACCAUUUCCUGUAUGUAUUUAGAUAAGAUAUGUUUCCACAAUUAAUAUUUUUAGGGACUAUUUCUCAACGUAAUGAAAUAGAUUAAGCGUUAUAUGAGCUUAAUAUGUGUUUUCUGUUUCCUUAAAAUUGAUGAAAAAUUGUCAGAAGGUAAUGAGACCAGUAUCCAUUACUGCAAUCAUACAAUAAAAAAUACAGGGACAAGCCCACUGCUCAUAUAAUAUGAUUAAACCUUGUUUAGGGGCAUGAGGCAAACCGAGUUACUUUCAAAUGUUAAAGAUGCACUCUCACACUUUGGAUGUUUUGACAACUGUUUUCAUUUUUAGCUCUACUGGCCAAAGGCCAGAAGAGCUUAUGCGAUGGUAAUGUGUACGUAGUAUGUGCGUCUGUAACCAAUCCUCGUUUACAUGAUACAGCCUACAGUUCCUUUCGAAAACCAGCCAGAUCCGCCCAUGUAUGCCUAGUUUAUGGGCCUUGAUAGUAUACAAAAAUCAGUGUGUCAGUAGGCAAUUGCUCGUUAACAUGAUACAGCCUUUUUGAUUGUAUCUCAAUGAAACUUGUACAGUAUCUACAUAUCCAUAUGAGCUCGGUUCCUUUCGAAAACCAGCCAGAUCCGCCCAUGCAUGCCAAGAUUAUGGGCCUUGAUAAUAAAAAAAAAUAGUGUGUCAGUAAACAAUUGCUCGGUAACACGAUACAGUCUUCAGUUUUGAUUGUAUCUUGAUGAAACUUGUCCAGUAUAUCCAUUAGAGCUCAGUUCCUUUCAAAAACCUGAUCUGCCCAUGUUUCCUGGAUUAUUGGCCUUGAAAUUAUUAGAUGAUGGCCUUGAUAGUAUAAAAAAUGCUAUUUUGUAAUAAAUGCUUGCGAAUAUGAUACAGUCUUCAGUUUUGAGUAUUCAGAUACCCAUAAGGGGUUGGUUCUUUUCGAAAACAGUGAUGUUGACCACACAAACCCAGCCAGUAGAGCAUAGGCCCUUUUGGGCCUCUUGUUUGUUUUGGAUUGGUACCAUCCAGUCUUUGCGAAAAAUGCAUGGAAACCAGUAAUAUAAGACUACUGACAAAAAAUUCAAUUGCAGACUUUUUUAUUUAAGUUAAAACAUUGAUGUUUUAUGCACUUUUCUUAAACCGUUAACAUUAAUCUUCGAAGGAAAUAUGAAAUCUGGGAUUUGAUGUUUUGUCAGCAAUCUUUUACCAUUGGUUUGCUGAUAUUUACGCAAAAAUUUGCUCAUUCCAAGACAAAACAAAAGUUGUUAAAACGGUAUAUCUGUGAGAAUGCAGCUCUAAAUGUUUUGGCAAACAUGUUUUUGAUUUGGCAGCACAAUCAAUCUUGAACAUUGCUUGAUUUUACUGCUGUAUUAGAAAUUACAGGGGUAAUGGGGGAUUUUUUUUAGUGUUUUUAUUGCUUUUUGUGAUUCAUACAGUCAUACUUCAUUCCCCAGGGCACAACUUACAAAUAGACAGAACAGGAAAAUGGUCAUUUUAAAAGGUCAAGGACAAUGCAAGUUGAACAAUCAUAUUGUUCAUGGCUUGUAUUUUUGGUAUAUUUUGUUGCAUAUAUGCUAUAAAAAAGUUGAAAGUUAAAAAUAACUUCAUAGUUGAAAUGAUGGCUUUGAAUGGUUUUGUCAGUUGAGAAACAGCACUAUUAAGAAAUAUGUUAAUGGUACUUUAUUAUUUUAAUCAAUUUUAGAUAUUUGUAUGAAAAUAAUUAUCUUAUUUUGUACAUGAGACCUUUUAAACAGUUAUUUAUAAUUUAACAAUGUGUAAAUGAUCAAAACUUAAAGCUGCACUUUCACAGAUUGUCAUUUUAGACACUUUAAAAAUUUUGUCUCAAAAGCUGAUUUGGUUAUCAUUCCUUUAAUUCAGUCAUAUUAGAUAAUUCACAAUAGAACCAAUCAAAAAUGUUUGGUAAGACUGCCGAAAAGUUCAUUUACAUUAAAUUGUUCGUAAUGCUACUAUACCCAUAAAACAUCAUUUUAGCCAUAAAUAUGACAAAAUGCAAUCUGAUCUUAUUUCAGAAGUCUUAUAUCACUUAAAAUUGGGUCUAUGCAAAAAAUGGUCUAUUUAUAGACCAACAAUAAAAGAGUGCCGGUAGUCAAAACGAUCAAUUAGUGAGAUUGCAGCUUUAAAUACACCUUUUUAAGUCCGCUGUAAAAUUCCAAUGGUUUGCCUCAAUCUUUAAAGCUAGCAUACUGUUUAAUUGACAGCCAUACUUUUUGUUUAAAAGUGUCAUGAUAUGUUUGUACAAUGUGUUUAUAUAAUUCAUUAAAGAAGUCAAAACAAAUUUGUUUAUCUUGUAAUU